AUUGAACGCUAGCGGGAUGCUUUACACAUGCAAGUCGAACGAGUGGCGGACGGGUGAGUAAUAGAUCGGAACGUGCCCAGUAGCGGGGGAUAACUACUCGAAAGAGGGGCUAAUACCGCAUACUAUUAGAGCGGCCGUUAUCGGAUUAGCUAGGUGGUGGGGAAAAGGCUCACCAAGGCAACGAUCCGUAGCUGGCUUGAGAGGACGACCAGCCACACUGGGCCGGGGCACCGGCCCGGACUCCUACGGAAGGCAGCAGUGGGGAAUUUUGGACAAUGGGGGAAACCCUGAUCCGGCCCGCCGGGGUGUAUGAGAAGGCCUUCGGGUUGUAAAGUACUUUUGUCAGAGAAGCGGUAUCUGCAGAAUAAGCACCGGCUAACUACGUGCCAGCAGCCGCGGUAAUUC
rnacentral:rRNA from 1 species